rnacentral:rRNA from 1 species
CCUACGGGGGACAGCAGUGAGGAAUAUUGGUCAAUGGACGAGAGUCUGAACCAGCCAAGUAGCGUGAAGGAUGACUGCCCUAUGGGUUGUAAACUUCUUUUAUAUGGGAAUAAAACGUUCCACGUGUGGGAUUUUGUAUGUACCAUAUGAAUAAGGAUCGGCUAACUCCGUGCCAGCAGCCGCGGUAAUACGGAGGAUCCGAGCGUUAUCCGGAUUUAUUGGGUUUAAAGGGUGCGUAGGUGGAUUGUUAAGUCAGUUGUGAAAGUUUGCGGCUCAACCGUAAAAUUGCAGUUGAAACUGGCAGUCUAGAGUACAGUAGAGGUGGGCGGAAUGCGUGGUGUAGCGGUGAAAUGCAUAGAUAUCACGAAGAACUCCGAUUGCGAAGGCAGUUCACUGGACUGCAACUGACACUGAGGCUCGAAAGUGUGGGUAUCAAACAGGAUUAGAUACCCCAGUAGUG